AGUGUGGUGGCCGAGUGUUAAGGCGUUGGACUUAAGUUCCAAUGGACGUAUGUCCGCGUGGGUUCGAACCCCACCCGCACUA
rnacentral:tRNA from 1 species